UGCCACGCUUUUGCCCGCGGCUUCCGCCAGAGAACGAAUCGCCGCAAAUGAUGCAAGUGACGUUUUGCUGUUGGAGCACAACGGUCGGCUGAAAUGGGUCGCAGGAAAUCAAUCGCACUCGUAUUACGCAACAUAAAGCUAAUGUGUGUGUGUGUUGGUCGAAGUGUUCUUAAAGAGCUUUUUUUCUCUCUCUAAGGGGGUUUCAAAUCAAUUGUGAAGAAACGGAAGCAGUCUGGUUCGUACAGGAAUGAUCAAAUAUGAACGAGCUAAUUCUUGGUAUGACUUCCAAUGCCCGGAAAAGUGCAUCAUACAAUGUGGCAAUCAGUGCAAUCAUGCCUGCAAGCUAAAUUGUAGAGGCAGUGUACUUAUCUUACGCUGGAUUGCACACGCGUUCUGUAAAUGCCACUCGUGGCGGUACCUCGUUACUUGAUGAGAGACGUCUUUCUCCUACUGGAUUUACCAUCCUCACAACUCCGAAGCCUUUGCCAAACCGCGCGAAUGUCAGAUACGGCCCAGAAUUAACAAGACAACCGGUGGUCAAUGAAGAAUUCGUAACUCCUUCUCAAUCACAAACUAUUGCUAGCGAAGCACGACUUUGAACCUCAACAAAACCCCCACCAUCAGUCCCAAACUUCCUUCGAGAAAUCUGACGUAAGGAUGCAAAGAUCUCGCCCGCCCAAGAGACAACGCUUCGCUCGAGCGUUUUAGCUCCCGUGGGAAAGAAAAACCGGGCAGCGGGUUUCGGGCACCCGGAACAACGCCCAAACGAUCGGGUUGCGGGUAAAGCAGUGCCGCGUAGCUACGUGCCGAAACACUCGAAAAAGCUCAUCCGGUUCGUUCUUAGGGCGAGAGGCAAAACAUCGGGGUGAAAAGGAAGCGAUUGGAAAGGAUUUAAGGGGAACCGGUUGCAUUGGAGUGGAAGCGAAGACGCGACCCUUGAAGCAGUCGGUAAAGUAGACACUGGCGGUAUGGGACUCCACUCGGACGAAUCUGGCAGAAUGCGAGAAAGCGCGGACAAUGAUCGUUGCAAAACUGUUCGUAUCGAUUCAUUAUGCUCCAGGGAUGGGAGUUCGAUGCAACAACAGCAACAGGAGAAAAAAAAAGAGCCGGGUUAUAAUAAAAUCAAUUGCUUGCAAGUGAAGCAUCAACUAUAGAUGCGCCGGAAGAACAGUAACUCGCCUACAACAGUUACAGACAGCUUCUU